GGGGCUGUAGUGUAGCUUGGUUUAUCACUAGUGGUUUGGGACCACUGAACCCCGGUUCAAAUCCGGGCAGCCCCA
rnacentral:tRNA from 1 species